GGGCCGGUAGUCUAGCGGAAGGAUGCCCGCCUUGCACGCGGGCGGUCCCGGGUUCGAAUCCCGGCCGGUCCACCA
rnacentral:tRNA from 1 species